CACGUAGUUAGCCGUGGCUUAUUCUUACGGUACCGUCACUUUCUUCGUCCCGUACAAAAGAAGUUUACAAUCCGAAAACCUUCAUCCUUCACGCGGCAUUGCUGCAUCAGGGUUCCCCCCAUUGUGCAAUAUUCCCCACUGCUGCCUCCCGUAGGAGUCUGGGCCGUGUCUCAGUCCCAAUGUGGCCGUCCGCCCUCUCAGGCCGGCUACUGAUCGUCGCCUUGGUGGGCCGUUACCCCGCAACAAGCUAAUCAGACGCGGGUCCAUCUUACACCACCGGAGUUUUUCACACCGCUUCAUGCGAAGCUGUGCGCUUAUGCGGUUUUAGCACCUAUUUCUAAGUGUUAUCCCCCUGUGUAAGGCAGGUUGCCCAGCGUUACUCACCCGUCCGCCACUAACCCAUAUAUCACUAGGUUUCAAUAUGGGUCCGUUCGACUUGCAUGUGUUAAGCACGCCGCCAGCGUUCAUCCUGAGCCAGGAUCAAACUCU
rnacentral:rRNA from 1 species